rfam:Vigna angularis cultivar Jingnong 6 scaffold336_4, whole genome shotgun sequence.
AAACCAUGAUUGGGGCAUCUCCUCAACAAAGAAUUAAAUCGUUCCCAAGCUUCACAGAAUGGUUCAUCUUGUCCUUGCCUAAAAGUAGAAAUCUCAGUCUCUGGGUCA